rnacentral:rRNA from 1 species
AGGAAAAGAAACCAACAGGGAUUGCCUUAGUAGCGGCGAGUGAAGCGGCAAAAGCUCAAAUUUGAAAUCUGGCACUUUCAGUGUCCGAGUUGUAAUUUGAAGAAGGUAUCUUUGGGUCUGGCUCUUGUCUAUGUUUCUUGGAACAGAACGUCACAGAGGGUGAGAAUCCCGUGCGAUGAGAUGUCCCAGACCUAUGUAAAGUUCCUUCGAAGAGUCGAGUUGUUUGGGAAUGCAGCUCUAAGUGGGUGGUAAAUUCCAUCUAAAGCUAAAUAUUGGCGAGAGACCGAUAGCGAACAAGUACAGUGAUGGAAAGAUGAAAAGAACUUUGAAAAGAGAGUGAAAAAGUACGUGAAAUUGUUGAAAGGGAAGGGCUUGAGAUCAGACUUGGUAUUUUGUAUGUUACUCUCUCGGGGGUGGCCUCUACAGUUUACCGGGCCAGCAUCAGUUUGAGCGGUAGGAUAAGUGCAAAGAAAUGUGGCACUGCUUCGGUAGUGUGUUAUAGUCUUUGUCGAUACUGCCAGCUUAGACUGAGGACUGCGGCUUCGGCCUAGGAUGUUGGCAUAAUGAUCUUAAGUC